rnacentral:rRNA from 1 species
CCUACGGGAGGCAGCAGUGGGGAAUCUUGUGCAAUGGGCGAAAGCCUGACACAGCAACGCCGCGUGCGGGAAGAAGGCCUUCGGGUCGUAAACCGCUUUCAGCAGGAACGAAAAUGACGGUACCUGCAGAAGAAGGUGCGGCCAACUACGUGCCAGCAGCCGCGGUGACACGUAGGCACCAAGCGUUGUCCGGAUUUAUUGGGCGUAAAGAGCUCGUAGGCGGUUCAGCAAGUCGGGUGUGAAAACUCUGGGCUUAACCCAGAGCCUGCACCCGAAACUGCUGUGACUAGAGUUCGGUAGGGGAGCGGGGAAUUCCUGGUGUAGCGGUGAAAUGCGCAGAUAUCAGGAGGAACACCGGUGGCGAAGGCGCCGCUCUGGGCCGAAACUGACGCUGAGGAGCGAAAGCGUGGGUAGCAAACAGGAUUAGAUACCCUGGUAGUCCACGCCGUAAACGUUGGGCACUAGGUGUGGGUCUCUAACCAACGAGAUCCGCGCCGUCGCUAACGCAUUAAGUGACCCGCCUGGGGAGUACGGUCGCAAGACUAAAACUCAAAGGAAUUGACGG